rnacentral:sRNA from 1 species
CAACAGCCGAAAGGAGGUGAUCCAGUGUCUCAUUGUCAUCCGCCCCGUAUGAUCGACAGGGCCUGGGUUCCUGCCCUCGCGAAGGAUUUGCGCGCGUAGCGUUCGCUAGAGGCACGAAACACAAGUCCCGGCGGACUCGCGCGGGCCACGACAAUGGAAGAGCCGUUCCCUUCGGGAACGGCUCU